rnacentral:lncRNA from 13 species
UUGAGGCAGGAGAAUUGCUUGAACCUGAGAGGCGGAGGUUGCAGUGAGCCUAGACGGCGACAUUUCGCUCCAGCCUGGCUGACAGAGCAAGACUCUGUUUAUCCCCCCACCCCACCCCCAAAAAAACAAACAAAAUGUAUCUACAGUGUAACAAGUGAGGAAAGUGGUUACUUUAAGGAGGUAGGAGGCUAAUGCUUGGGAAGGACACAAAGGCAAGUUUCCGGGGGUGCUGAUAAUGUUCUGUUUCUUGACCCAGGCAUUGUCACUGUGGGGAGUGUGUGUUCACUUUGGAAUAAUUCGGUCAGUUCGACCCAUGGGUUGUGUAUAUAUAUUUUCCUGGCAGGUGAGUUGUGGACACUCCACUCCUUGGUGGAUUUUGGCUUCCAUGGCUACCGUCCUGAUGCUUUGUACAUUUUUCUGAUAAGAGCUUCAGUGAGAGCUUUUACAAAUCAACCGAAAGAAUAAACUACGAAGAGGAAAAUGGCCUGGAAAAAUAUGAUUUCAUACACAUAAGCUUUCCAGACACUCUUGUCUCCUGGCUCCUGUCCAAGCACAGUGGCCAGCCAUCUAGGCAGCCUUCCGCCUUUGUCUGCAGCCCUCCCCUCCUCUCACUCCAGGGGCUCUUUAUUGAUCGCCUCCCCGCCAGACCUUCCGUUGCCAUGGUAACGCCCCCCCCCCCACCGCGUAGUUCUGCACUUUUCUCUCCGAGGCUCAAAACAAGCAUUGCAGAAACGGUUCUUUGGAAUGUGAUUACCCCUGACCAUGGUGGCAGAGGGAGUGCUUCUGUUGUACCAAAUGGAAACUGCCUGAGAUGGCAGCCAUCACCUAGAAGCUACCCACGGACAAAGCCAUGUCGUCUACCCCACAUUAACAUUGAGGUACCAGAAAUAAGGAAAGUCCUUAUGACUCUGAGAGACCUAAAGGGGGUUUGCAGGGUGAGUGAUGGGGUCUGUUUGGUGAGUAAUGAUAUGGCCUAUGAAUACAAUGAUGAGGAAUCUGUGGUCGGAGUGCUGGGGGUUCUGGGAUCCUGCAUGCUGGGUGAUGGGCUCUGUGGGGGUUAGAUAUGCAGUAUUGGGGCAGUGAGUGACAGGAGUGACUCCAUCAUGGCUUGAGGCAUCCUCAACCUCCUGGGCUCAAACAAUCCUCCCACCUCAGCCUCCUGAGUAGCUGGGACCACAGGCAUGCGGCACCACGCCUGGCUAAUUUUUUAGUUUUUUGUAGAGAGAGGGGUUUUGACAUGUUGCCCAGGUUGGUCUCAAACUACCAGGCUCAAGUGAUCUGCCUGCUCCAGCCUCCCAAAGUGCUGGGAUUACAGGCAUGACUCACCUUGCCUGGCCGAUUUUCAUUUCUCUAGAUUAAGUGCCCAAGAACGCAAUUGCUGCAUCAUAUGUUUAAUUUUAUAAGA